CUACUCAUUGGUCCAUUUUCUUUAUUGUUUCAUGUGAUUCUGUAUUGGGCUAUUCAUUGGUUCAUCUUCUACCCUUAAUUUCCUAAUCCUGGUUACUGUUCACGGGGCAUUUUUUUUUGGGACAACUUCUUUUUCCAAUGGCCCAUGUGGAUGAUGGCCCAUGUUGUCACAAUUGCAUCAUGCCCAACUGUGAUCAGCAGCCGUUUCCUCCUUCUUUCGACACAAUUCCGUCAUCAGCAGCCGUUUCCUCUCCCCUCUGUGAUCCUUCUCUACUUCUCCUUCUUUUACUUCUCAACCCAUGUUGUCACACAAUUGCGUCAUCCCAAUUCCAGCUGUUGCCGUGUUGGUGCAUCGAAGGUCGAUCCCACCUCGAUCAUCCCUUCUACUUCUGUUCAUGCUGUACUUUUCGUUGUUCAUGUAGUAGCCCUCAUCCUCCUUCCGGUUUUCAUGGCUUUUUACCUAGCAGCUUGCGUGUGUAGCAAUCCGUAGGUACCUUCAAGCCACCAAAACCAGCUGGACGUUCUUCUUUACAGUACAAGUUCCUUUAGUCCAUCUCUUAUAGGUUAUCAAGCUUUGUAGAAGCUGCCUUGCUCUCUUCCUCAUCUACAAAUGUUACUCUUUAUAAAUAGGCACUUCAUGCUGGAACUGACAGCCCUUUGAAGCUCUAUGCAGCGGGAGGGAUACAUGGACGAUUAAACUAAGGGUCCUUGGAGCAUGGGACAUGUGCCCAGUUACUGAACCAUCCAAACUAUAUGCAAUGAGUUUGGUGCUGCUUGAUGCGGAGUGAGGACUGAGGAGGGAGUGAAGAAAAAGAUAUACUCUGGUGCCACACAUUUGAACCUGAGACCUCUGGUGCUAUGGGAUUUGGCUUCAGAUUGGUUUUUUGGGUCUUCACCAUAUGUAAGCCCAAAGUUUUAGGGAAUUCUUCUCAAAUCAUGGUGGAUUUAAGUUGUGGUUCUCUUGUCAGUAACAAGCUUGAGCAACUGACCAUUUCAAGACGUACUGAGACAGAUGAGUCAGGUGAAUAGUCUUACUUCUAUUUUCUUUUCGUAUAUUACUUCAUUUCUCUCAUAACUUUGUACUCUUUUCUCUCCCUCUCUUUGUUUAGAGCAUCUCCAAUGCAUGGUUGCUUAUUGGGUUGCUUAAAUGCUAUUCUGGUGGGCCCAGACUGCCACAUGGGAUUUAAGCAACCCAUGCAUAAUUCACUCCAGUGCAUGGUUGCUUAUUUUACUUUUAGUUGGACCCCACUGUACCUCAUAUGUUUAUAUUUUUUAUUUCCAACUAAGCAUGACUUAAAUUUAAAUAUUAAUUAAUAUUUAUAACAAUAUAAAUAUAUUUAAAAUUGGACAUGGUAUUUAAAAAAAAAUUCAAACAAAAUGCAUUACAUUAUAUUAUAUAAUUAAGUUCGAAAUAAGAUACAAUUCAUUGCAAAAUAAAAAAUAAUGAAAACUCUCUCAAAGAUUAAAUUUCAUUAUUCCUACUUUCGGAGAGCUCCCAAAUAUGUUCCACCAAGUCUGCUUGAAGUUGGCGAUGGAUUUCCCUUUGACUCAUAUGACCUCUUCUUUCUAAGAAUGUUGCAAAUGAAGGGAUAGGACCAUUAGAUACUUCAGCGGUUAUGAUGUCAUUGUCUACUUGGUCGUAAACAAAAUUACCAUUAUACCCCUCACGUUCAUCUUCAACAAUCAUGUUAUGCAAUAUAAUGCAUGCAUACAUUAUUUGUUUCAUGGUAUUCACAUGCCAAAAGCGUGAUGGGCCACGAAUAAUUGCAAAUCGAGAUUGGAGUACUCCAAAUGCGCGCUCAACAUCCUUUCUUGCUCCUUCUUGUGCUUUGGCAAACAAUUGUCUUUUUUCUCCUUGUGACAUUGGGAUUGUCUUGACAAAUGUAGCCCACUCGGGAUAGAUACCAUCCGCUAGAUAGUAACCCAUAUGAUAUUGUGUUCUGUUCACCUCGUAGUGCACUUCAGGAGCUGUGCCAUUCAACACAUUGGUAAACACAUCAGAUUGGUUUAGCACAUUGAUAUCAUUGUUAGAACCUGCAAUGCCAAAAAAAGCAUGCCAAAUCCACAAGUCUUGUGAUGCCACUGCUUCAAGCAUGAUUGUGGGUUUGCCAUGAUCACCUCGAGAAUACUGACCUUUCCAUGCAACUGGACAAUUUUUCCAUUCCCAAUGCAUACAGUCAAUGGAACCCAACAUACCUGGAAAUCCACGAGACUCCCCCAUUUGUAGUAGGCGUGUAAUGUCCUCUUUGUUCGGUCUCCUCAAGUAAUGGGCUCCAAAUAUUUCAUUCACACCCGUUACAAAUCUCUCUAAGCACUCAAUUGCAGUACUUUCACCAAUUCUUACAUACUCAUCCAGAUUGUCAGCAGGUGAUCCGUAUGCCAACAUACGAAUAGCGGCGGUGCACUUUUGUAAUGGUGAAAGACGCACCGACCCUCACCAUGAAUCUCGAAGCUUCCUUCACUUUAUCCCACUCUCUCUUUUUUUCUCCUACGGUUUCAAACCCACACAAACCCUCUUUCUCUCUCACUCUCUGGAUCUGGAAGCUUCCUUCUCAAACGUCAAACCCACAAACAGCUUUCUCUCUUCAUCUCUCAAACUCACAUCUCUCACCGUCUUUCUGCCUCCAUCCGCGGUCAAAAUCGAAGCUUUGAUCUCUCAAACUCACAUCAAAAUCGUUCAAAAUCGAAGCUUCAUCGUUCAAAAUCGUUCAAACCCUCUUUCUGCCGUUCAAAAUCGAAGCUUUCAUCUCUCAAAUCACAUCAAAAUCGUUCAAAAUCGAAGCUUCCUCGUUCAAACCCGUCAGUACCCUCUUUCUGCCGUUCAAAAUCGAAGCUUCAUAGUUCAACCCUCGUUCAAACCCUGUUUCUGCCUCCAUCCGCGUUCUCUCUCACUCGAAGCUUCAUCGUUCAACCCUCGUUCAAAUCAGAUCGGCGACAUGCAAGAGAACGGAGGUUUCAGCCUUCAGAUCGGCGACAUGCAAGAGACCAUCUCCGUCGCCAUCACAGAUCCUCUCCAUUUUUUGUGUAAUUUUUUUGAUUUUUUUUGUAUUUUAAUUUGUUAAAUCUGUGUUAUAUAUUUCUGAAAUUUUGGAUUGUUGAAAUUUCUGAAAUUUAAUGGAUUGUUGGAUUGUUGUUCAUGAAUGUGUUCUUCCCUCUUCUUUUAACGAUUUCUGUUGCUGAAUGUAAGAGAAAAAACAGUUUUUUAUUAAGCUUCAGCAAGUUAAGGAGCGUUGCUUAUUUAAGCAACGUUGCUUAACUUUGGGAUGUUAGCAACGCCACCUCAGCAAACUCCAAUGGGGGAGAAAAAUAAGGAACGCAGCUUAACUUAAGGAACCAUGCUAAGCAACUCCUGUUGGAGUUGCUCUUAGUUUCUUUAAAUCCUUAAUUUUCAGCACAACAACAACAACACUCAUCUUUUCCGCAGCACCAAAACGAAUCACUUGAAAGGUUGGAUUUGUGCAAUUCAGAAGUUCAAGGAUACCAUAUUCGCUGCUUAUGAACCACUUGCCAAGGCAAAGAAGAAUGGGGCACUAGCUAGCUUGAACUUUUUUUAGUAUUGGUGCAUGGAUUCAUAAAGGAUGAGUCAUUUCAAGGUGGCCUUAGGAUUCAGAUUUAUGUUAGGAACCAUAGUGUGAUUCAGAACCUACUCCAAUCAUCCAUUGAAGUUCUAUUUGGUGUUAUUAAAUUUUGUUCUAUCAAAGCCUGAAUAGCAGAAUCAAAGACUACUAUUAAAUUUUC